rnacentral:tRNA from 3 species
GCGAAGUAGCCAAGUGGUAAGGCGUGGGUCUGCAACACCCUGAUCACCGGUUCAAAUCCGGUCUUCGC